rnacentral:rRNA from 1 species
GACGAACGCUGGCGGCGUGCUCAACACAUGCAAGUCGAACGAAGUGGCGAACGGGUGAGUAACGCGUGAUCAACCUGCCCUUCAGAGGGGGACAACAGGUGGAAACGACUGCUAAUACCGCAUACUGAAGGAGGGGUUUGCGUCUGAUUGGCUAGUUGGAGGGGUAACGGCCAACCAAGGCGAUGAGCAGUAGCCGGUCUGGGAGGUUGGACGGCCACAUUGGGACUGAGACACGGCCCAGACUCCUACGGGGGGCAGCAGUGGGGAAUCUUCCGCCAUGGACGAAAGUCUGACGGAGCAACGCCGCGUGAGUGAUGACGGCCUUCGGGUUGUAAAGCUCUGUUAAUCGGGACGCGGUACCGGAAUAGAAAGCCACGGCUAACUACGUGCCAGCAGCCGCGGUAAUUC